rnacentral:ncRNA from 1 species
UCUCCCGCUUCACCUCCCUGAGCGGGCGCCUCACGCCGGUGAGGACUUUCGCCCCCGACCGCCCCCUGGUCGGGGGCUUUUAUUU